GUCUACGGUCAUGCCACCCUGAACAAGCCCAAUCCCGUCUGAUCUUGGAAGCUAAGCAAGGUUGAGCCUGGUUAGUACUUGGAUGGGAGACCACCUAGAAAGACCAGGUGCUGUAGGUG
rnacentral:rRNA from 1 species